AGCAGCCGCGGUAAUUCCAGCUCCAAUAGCGUAUAUUAAAGUUGUUGCAGUUAAAAAGCUCGUAGUUGAAUUUCGGGACUAAUAUGUCGGUCGUGCCUCGGUACGCACUGGCUUAUUGGUUUCUCCUUUCUGAAGAACCAUGAUGUCAUUUAUUUGGUGUCGUGGGGAAUCAGGACUGUUACUUUGAAAAAAUUGAGUGUUUAAAGCAGGCUCACGCUUGAAUACAUUAGCAUGGAAUAAUGAAAUAGGACGUUUGAUUCUAUUUUGUUGGUUUCUAGGAUCGACGUAAUGAUUAAUAGGGAUAGUUGGGGGCAUUAGUAUUCAAUUGUCAGAGGUGAAAUUCUUGGAUUUAUUGAAGACUAACUACUGCGAAAGCAUUUGCCAAGGAUGUUUUCAU
rnacentral:rRNA from 1 species